UUAUUUAUCAAGUUUUAUCUACAUGUGCGGAAUAUUUUGCGUUUUGUCGAAGUCAUAUGUUCGUCAGCUUCGAUAUAGUCGCCAACCUUAUGUAUUCUGUAUAUAUAAUUAUAGGUCAUUAUAAACUCAUUAAUAAUUCAUGAAGAAAAUUCAAGAGAAAUGACUGUUUAAUCAAUGUUUGUAAAUCGGAUAAAGAUUUGUCCUGAUUUACAUGAACUUCAGCUUUGAUUUUCUCGGCUGAUACACAAUGUUUAUUUUUAAAAUUAUUUCGCCAAUGAACUCAAAAGAUGGGUCGUUUUUUAAGUACGAUAAAACAUUCGCAUCCGACCUUUAUCUGAUAUACAAACUCUCGCCUUCGGCUGGAGUUUGUAUAUCAGAUAAAGAUAGGUUGCGAAUGUUUUAUCUAGUACAUAAAUCCACGGUUAAUACCGUGAUAAAUCAUAGUGCUUUUCAUUGAGUGCUUGCGGUGCGCGACAAAUGUCAGAGGAAUGGGGCGAGCUUAUUUAUAAAAUUGAGUGCAUUCUGAACCAAUUUUUGGGCCGCCUACGCCUUGCAUGACGUGAAAGAAAUGUUUCUAAAAUUAACAACAUUCCGUGCACCCGAGCAAUAAAACGUGCCAAGGGAAACUUGUUAAGGAAUUAAACAUUUGUUGAUCAAGGAAAAUUCAAAAUUUGCUCGUCCGUAUAUCUGUAUGGGGCUUAAUUUAGCAGCUGUAAAAUUGCCCUCUAUACGGCUCUAGAUAAAUGUUAUAAAAUAAUAAAUUUAUUGUAAUUCUUUUUGAACGUUUUCAGUAAUUCGUUUCUGAUAUGCAAUUCGGAUUUGAA